UACGUAGGGCGCAAGCGUUGUCCGGAAUUAUUGGGCGUAAAGAGCUCGUAGGCGGCUUGUCACGUCGGGUGUGAAAGACCGGGGCUUAACCCCGGUUCUGCAUUCGAUACGGGCUGGCUAGAGUGUGGUAGGGGAGAUCGGAAUUCCUGGUGUAGCGGUGAAAUGCGCAGAUAUCAGGAGGAACACCGGUGGCGAAGGCGGAUCUCUGGGACGGUACUGACGCUGAGACGCGAAAGCGUGGGGAGCGAACAGG
rnacentral:rRNA from 1 species